GACAACUGGAUAUUUUUUCCGCCUACUGUCUUUUUUUUUUCCUCCUUUCUUUUUAAAUCUCGGCCUCUUAGAUCAACAAAAAUGAAAUGUCUCGCUGAGGACUCAGACGUAGGACGCCUUCUCUGAAUUUUGAGUAGGUCUCACCUAAGAAUGUCUCUCUACGUUUGUACUAGCUGGGCGGAAGUUCGUUCUAGGAAACACCUUGGAAAUGCCAUUUCUGACCUUUAUUCCUCUUCCGGAAAUUUCGAGUUGGAGUCUGCGUUGGGUUGGCCUGAGUGGGGGCGUAGACGCCUCUGGGCGGUUCAGGGUCAGCACUCUUAGGUGGCUGAGACCCAAACGUGUGCUAAAAGAGUGGGAAUUGUGGCAUUUGCUCGAAAGCUAAGACUCCCAGGGAGAGGAAAAUAAAAAGGUAAAUGGUUUGUGUGGUUCGUGAUUCAUGUAAGCUCUCCAUUGUAUGACCGGCACCUAGCGCAUUUUUCGGUAUGUAUUAUUGUCGGUAUUCAAUAAAUAUUCGUCGAAUAAAUGACCCUAUGACGUGUAGAAGAUUUUAAAAUGAGAAAGAGGGUGUGAUCCAGCCUUGGGCAGAAGGGUGGGAGACCGGAAAAGAGGAAAGGAAAAAGGGAGAGGAAAGGUCCAACGCCCACAGUAGAGGAAGUGGAAUGACAACUGAUAGCAGCCUCCGUCCAAGAAUUUGAGCAAGGUUUCUGUUCUACCACUUUUUACCACUGUUACUGGGGUACUAAUGAGGCUUGAAUGAAGUUAAGUAAUCUGAAUUACAUUCUGCCCUUGCCCUUGCAUCUGACGUUUCUAAACCUGUGCUCGCUUCGGCAGCACAUAUACUGACGUUUCUAAACCUGUUUCCUCUUUUGUAAAACCCGAAUAAUUGCAGCUGCUCUGUGGCAUGGAAAGAUCUUAGUGUAUCCAUUGACUGAUUACUGAAAAUCAGGUAUCCAGUGAAAAAGUCUGAGGAAGGAAAAAUAGACGUUUAGUGCCCUGAAGUUCAAUCUCUACACCCAGUGUGAGGCUUGAACUCGGGUCCUGGAGAUCAAGAGUCACAAGCUCUACUGACUGAGCCAGCUAGGCCUCUUGGUUCUAUUUCCUGUUCCCUCCUGUCUCAGAGAAAGACACAGCGAGAGAGGGAACACAAACGGGGAGUGGGAGAGGGAGAAGCAGACUCCCCGCCGAGCAGGGAGCCCGAUGCGGGACUCGAUCCAGGGACUCCAGGAUCAUGACCUGAGCCGAAGGCAGUCGCUCAACCAACUGAGCCACCCAGGCGCCCGCUUCCAAUUUCUUAAUCAGGUACAUACUCACCUUUUCUCCUGGCCUUGGGAUUCUUUUUCUCAGAUUUCCAGGACCUUCCCCCAUUAGGGAUACUUCACAGAUAGCCACUGUUGCAGAACUGAAGAACUUCAGGCAGCAAAAAUUGCUUUAGGUCAGUUCGAGGCUGGAAACCUAACAGCCCUUCCAGAAGUCCCAAAGGCAGGCCACUAGGACCAUCUGAAGCUUAACCCAGGGGCUACUUAAUUUGAACAAAUGCACUAGAAUGUAAGCUCCAUGAGGGCAGGGAUAUUUGUUUUGUGCACUAUUCUAUCUCUAGUGCCUAGAAUAAAAAAGGUGCUUAUUUAUUGUUGAAUUUUUAUUAGGACUCAUUUGGGUUACCUACUAGUAUAUAAGACAAGUCCAAAAGCUCAGCUCACGUUCAUGGUUUCUACAUCCUUGAAGAAUGCUUUUCCACUUCCAUUCUUGGUGAGUUUCAGCUGCCAUUAUUCCAGACCAUAGGGCAUCAAGGGCCUGGUUUAAUUUAUAUAUCAUCAUAAUCUAUAUAAUAUAUAAUUUAUAUAUCAUCUCUGAAUGAGAUAAUAGACAAAUUAUCAUUUUUCACCAGAAGAUUUUUAUCAGAACCCAGCAAUCUUCCUAAUAUACUACCAUGUUCUCUCCCUCAGUUGCCCUUACCCCAUUUCUCUUACCCACCCCCAUCCAUUUCUGCCUACCUCUUUCUGAUUUCUUCUUUUCUCUCAACUAGCUAGAAGACAAAAUAUAUUUGCUAUAUUAACAUUAAAAUGUCAUUUUGUGCAAGGCACUGCAGGGAACAGAGAAGAAUAAAGUAUGAACCACGCCCUCAAGUUCAAAACAAUGAGGGGGAGACAUAUAGGAACAAAAUUAUUAUAAGAGGGAGAACCUAUAAAAGACUGAGCACAAAGGAGAAGACUAAUUCUGGGUAGAUGAAGGAAGCCUUACUAAAAAGGAAACAUUUGAGCUGAGCUUUGAAAAAAGGGUUAGAAUUUAGCAGGCUGGGAUGGCAAAGGUGUUCAAGAAGUGGGAGCAAUGGGGAAAAAAUCUGUGGAAAAACCAGAAGUAAUCUCACACAUUUGGAUCAUAGAAAUGGUAAAGCUACAAAAGAUCCAGAAAACGAGGAAUCAUGGGACAUUUUUAAGAAGGAAAAUGACUUGGUCAAGCUUUGUUUUCAAAAGCUGACCCACUGGGCAGCAUGAAGAAUGGAUUAUAGUGGAUUGGAAAGCUAAAGGUUCCCCAGGUGAGAUGUAACAAAAAUUUGACUUGGAUGAGUGUGAAAAAUGAAAAAUGGAAGCAGGUAUGAGAGGCAAUUUUGGAGGAAUGACAGAACCUUCACAAAUAACUGAACAUGAUGAUGGAAAAUAAUUGUAAAGUAACGAACGUAAAAGUUUUGGGUGGUUACGUUAAAAUUUUCUCUCAAAAGUUAUGCAAAACAAGUUAUAAAUAAAAAUAGUAAUUUCCAUCGCUAAUUUCUUUGGAAGGGGGAAAGGUAGGUCAGUCAUUUUUCUUACAAAAAGAAAGCCUUUUCCUCUGCCUUGUUUGCAUCCAUCUUGACAUCUUUCACCUUAACCAACAGGUCAACAUUAUCUAUCCCAUGCAGGUAACCAGGUAACCUAUUACUGGCUGAACAGGGUGCAUGGGUAUGUCCCAGUCUAGGGCCUGUAAUCUUGCUCAGAAGCAAGACGACCCAGAGAGUAGAAACAAACACCUUUCUAGUGACUCCAUGGGCCUCCACUCAAAAUGAUUCUUUAAAAUCUGGACCCAAAUGGGGAAGGACCAAAGGGAGAGGAAGAGGAAGAGAAUCUCAAGCAGAUUCCCCACUGAGCAUGGAGCCUGAUGGGAUGGCGGGGGGCGGGGGGUCAAUCACACGACCCUGAGAUCAUGACCGAGUUGAAACCAAGAGUCAGUCGCCCAACUGACUGAGCCACCCAGGCAUACCCUUUGUUUUUAAAUAAACUUAAUGCCUUCUAUAAGAAAGGCAUUGCUACUUAGAUGGGAAAAAAGGCAUAAAAAUUGGGUCCCUGCCCUCAUGGUGUUUAAAAUAUAGAGAUAAGGUACAUGAAAGGAUGAAAAUAUAAUUAACUCAUCCUUAGAAAGUGAAAAGGUACAGGUUCUGUUGAGGAUAACAAAUCAUUGACUCAAGAGUUGUAAAAUUAUGCUGUUCAAUUAUUUAUGCAUUUCCUAUUCUCUAUUACAACAUAAAUAUUGUGAGUAACUCUAAUUUUUGUAUUAUAUCCUAUCAGCUUUGGUAAAAUACUGAGGAGCUGCAGAAUGGAGUGUCCCAGUUGGAAUAUCAAGUUGACUUUUCAGUAACAGCCCCAAUCCUGGACUAACCUGCUCCUGGGGGUGUGCAGUCCUACUUAGACAUGAGAACCAAUCCCUGUCUCACAUAGAUGGUAGAGUGAAGACUGUGUCUCAUUUCCCUUCAGUUUGUAAUCCAUUUCCAAUUCCUUUUUUUUAAAAGAUCUUUAAAGUAAUCUCUACACCCAACAUGGGGCUCGAACUCAUGACACCGAGAUCAAGAGUUGCAUGCUUCACCAACUAAGCCAGCCAGGUGACCCUCCAUUCUUAUUCCUUCUAUUUGCACACCCAUCCUAGGAAACCUGUGCUCCCUUAGAAAAUACACCAUUCUGGAGUAAUGAUUAUUUAUAGGUAUCAUACUUUGAGGAACAUUAAUAAACUAGAAGUAUCCAGAAAAUGGUGACAAGAAGAGCUAAGAUGCUUAAGAUCCACGUUAAACAAAGUCAAGGGUACAAAGGAUAUUUCACUUGGGGAAGACCUAAAAAAUUCAAGAUAGCUGUCCGUUUAUCUGAAGAGUUAGCAUAUAGGAAGACACCAGAUUUAUUUUUGCAUUGCUCUAGAAUGUAGAAGUUAUAGGAACAUCUACUAAAAAUAAUAAUAAUAAUAAUAAAGAAUAACUGUAACUGUUUAUAAAUGUGCUUCUUCAAUAGGUAGUGACCUCAUCAUCACUGGAAGAAUAUAACCAGAGCAUGAUAAUUGCUUUAGUUAGGAGUCAAGAGAGAGAGGGAGAGAGAGAGAGGAGGGGAAAGAAAGGAGUGGAGGGAGAGAAGAGAGAGAAGGAAAGGAAAGGAGAAGGAAAGGAAAGGAAAAGGAAAGGGAAAAGGAAAAGGAAAGGACAGGAAAAGAGAAAGGAAGAAGGAUAGGUUAUAUGGUAUUGGCUCACAUGGUCACAUGACUAGAUAGAUACACAGAUGGAUAAAUUAUAUGAUAUUGGCUUACACAAUUAUGGAAGCUGACAAGUCCUACAGUCCAGUCUGUAAGCUAGAGACCCAGGAAAGCCAUUAGUAUAGUUCCAAAUCCAAAGGCUGGUAAGCUAGAGACCCAGGAAAAGCCCAUGGCUCAGUUUGAGUCUAAAGACAAGAGAAAAAUGAAUCAGGGAAUUUUCCCUUAAUCAUGGGGUGCAGGGGGAGGCAUGGAAGGUGAGGUUUUUUGGGUUUUGUUUUUUUAAAGAUUUUAUUUGACACAGAGAGAGAGAUAACGAGAGAGCACAAGCAGGAGGAGCAGCAGGCAGAGGGAGAGGGAGAAGCAGGCUUCCCACUGAGCAGUGAGCCUGAUGGGGGGCUUGAUCCCAGAACCCUAAGAUCAUGACCUGAGCUGAAGGCAGAUGCUUAACUGACUGAGCCAUGCAGGCGCCCCAAGGUUUUUGUUUUGUUUUUUUAAAUUCAGGCCUUCAACUGAUUGGACAGGGCCCACUCACAUUAGGGAGGGCAAUCUGCUUUACACAAUCUACAGAUAUUCAAAUGUUAAUCUCAUCUAGAAUCACUCCGACAAACACACCCAGAAUAAUGUUUGACCAAGUGUUUGGGCACUCCAUGGUGCAUCCAUGGUGCAGUCAAGUUGACACACAAAGCUAACCACCAUAAUAAUCAUCUAUCAAGAAUACUGCAGAAAGAAUUUCUAAAUUACAGAAAUACGUAGCUUUCUCCAUCCCAUAGGUUUAUUUUAAGAAUUUAUUUAUUUAUUUGACAGAGAGCACAAGCAGGGGGAGCAGCAGGCAGAGGGAGAGGGAGAAGCAGACUCCCCACUGAGCAGGGAGCCCAAUGUGGGGCUUGAUCGCAGGGCACUGGGAUCAUGACCUGAGCCGAAGGCAGAUGCCUAACUGAGCCACACAGACGUCCCCUCAUAAAUUUCUUUUACUCAAGUAUCAGCAUAGAGAAGUUAAAGUUCUUCCACUACUGAUUCCCCUGAUUAUGCUUGAGAACAUAACAUCAUUUUGCACACAUGGCUUUCCCAUACACCAAAUUUUGGUUUAGGAGGGAAAAAACUAAUGAGUUCAGGAAGUUCGUAAUACUAAUUCUAACAGGGCACCUGGGUGGCUCAGUUGGUUAAGCAACUGCCUUCGGCUCAGGUCAUGAUCCUGGAGUCUCGGGAUCGAGUCCCACAUCAGGCUCCCUGCUCAGCGGGGGUCUGCUGCUCCCUCUGACCCUCUUCCCUCUCGUGCUCUCUCUCAUUCUGUCUCUCAAAUAAAUAAAAAUCUUAAAAAAAAAUUGUAAUUCUAACAAAAGGGUUUGUUUUACCAAACUGUGGUAGAUUAAAGAUAGCCAUUUUUUUUUCCUGCCACUUCUAUUAACAGGGGUAGCUAUCUCCCCUCCCCCUCAAUCUGGAUUAUGUCCAAAAUGGCUCAUUCACAUGGCUGUUGAUAGGGGGAGGAGAGGUCUCUUGGCCAAUAGCCAAGAGGGAACCAAAGCUAUCAACAGCCAUGUGAGCGAGCUUAGAAGCAGAUCAUCCAGACCAAGUAAAGGCUUCAGAUGACUGAGGGCCCCAGCUAUCAUCUUGACUGUAACCUCAUGAGAGACCCUGAGCCAGAAGCACCAACCUAAGCUGCUUCCAAAUUCUGGACCCGCAGAAACUAAGAUGUUUAAUGUUUAAGCCACUAAGUUCUAGAGUUACAAAUCAAUAAAUAAUUAUUUCACAGCAAUAGAUAAUACAAAACUCUGAGGAGUGUGUGGCUAACUGACGUUCUAGGAAACCAGGUACACCAUAACAACUUAUUCUCUGAGCAAAUGCUAAUAGCAUGGUAACUAGAUAGCAGUUCAAUGAAAGACAUUCAUUCCUUUUUAAAGGCAGGUCGGGAUGCAGUGGAUGGGAGAUUUACCAUAUCUCUUCCCAUUCCCCUGUCCAACACUCCUUUUAUGAAAGCUCUUGAAAAUCUAAAGGACAGAAUCCCUGGGAUAGCAAGUUUGGGGCAUCCCGUAUUAAGGAUGAAUUUCCACAUAUGAAAGGGGGGGAAGGGCAGGCCAGAUUGGAAAAGCUGAGUGUCUUGAGUUGUGCUACCAGCCACACAGGCAGUGGACAAAGUCCAAUUCUUCCUUUACAGAGCACAAUGUAUCAAUGAUAAUCUGCAGAAUUCCACACUUCCCAAAGCUUUUUCCCCACAUAUAUAUUGAAUAUUAUCACCUAAAGCAAAAAUGAUUUAGAAGUUCGUACUCGGGCGCCUGGGUGGCUCAGUUGGUUAAGCGACUGCCUUCGGCUCAGGUCAUGAUCCUUGGAGUCCUGGGAUUGAGUCCCACAUCGGGCUCCCUGCUCGGCGGGGGGUCUGCUUCUCCCUCUGACCCUCUUCCCUCUCGUGCUCUCUGUCUCUCAUUCUCUCUUAAAUAAAUAAAUAAAAUCUUAAAAAAAAAAAAAAGUUCGUACUCAAGAUUCAGCAGAGCCCACAAUGAAAAUUAGUAUCUAGUGAAUCCAGUUCAUUCUCUGUAGUGAUGAUAAAGAAUUAAAAGAGACACGCAAUUUGUUUGGGCUAAUCAAAAGCAUCUCCUAGAAACCUGUACCUUCCACAUGCUCUCUCAGUAAUAGCUAUUAGCCUAAAAUAAGCCUAGAAGAAGCUAACAAUGUAGGCAGCUCAGUGGUAUGUGCUUAAUUAACCCUUAACAGGGACCAGGUCCCUGCAUAGCACAAUUUGGUGAGGAAAAAAUUGGGGGAGAAUGAUGAGUUCUAGUUGUUAAUUUCUCCAUAAAAUUUUCCUUUAGAUCAGAGAACACAAAUGGUUUCAUAUCCUUUGCCAAUUCUGAUCCACUGGCAAUGGCUGCCUAAAAUAUAGCAUUGGAUGGUAUUGAUGGGCAACUAUGUCCUUGUGACUGCAAGGCAAGGGAAAAAGGCCAAUGUGCUGGAAAUCCUCCAGCCCUCUAGUAGAAGAAAAAGUCCAAUCCAUCAAAGAAGGACAAACACUGAUCUGUGGUUCAGCACCAUGCUAUGCUACCAUUUGUUAUCAAGGGCAAGGGUAGUUGUUUUGGGUGGUGGGGUGAAAUGCAGUGAGCAUUGGUAGAGCUUCUACUCUUCUUUUUUUUUUGUCAAUUUUAUGCAGGAACCGCCGAAGUUUUAGCGUUUCAUAUUUAACAGCAUGACUGAACUUCUACUCUUAUGUACUACAUGCAAAGCUCUUUGCACUUGUUACUUCAUUUAAUUCUAAUAACAACCAAUUCUUAUAGAUGAGACAGAUGAGGCUCAGAAAGUUUAAGUUCAAAGCUGCACAAUUCAAAGCCCUUGUCUGCCUGACACCAAAACCUAUAUUAUUUCCACAACUACAGAAAUCAUUUGUGUGGCCUGUAAAUUUGUACAGAAUACAUAGAGAGGACAUUGUGCCCAGUAGGUCCAACCACAAAUAGGUAACAUUUAUUUUUCUUAGUAAGAAAUAGUUUUAGGGCGCCUGAGUGGCUCAGUGGGUAAGCAUCCAGUUCUCAAUCUCAUCUCAGGUCUUGAUCUCAGGGUCAUGAGUUCAAGCCCCCCAUUCAAUAUUAAAAAGAAAUAGUUGUUUUGGACAUAUAGUUGAUCUUUGAACAAUAUGGGGGAGUUAGGGGCACCAACCACGCAGCCAAAAAUCCAUGUGUUAACAUUUCACUCCCCCAAAACUUAACUAAUAACCUACUGUGGACCAGAAGCCUUAUUGACUACAUAGUCGUAACACGUUUUGUACAUUUUAUGUAUUACAUACUGUAUUACAAUAAAGUAAGCUACAGAAAAGAAAAUGUUAAGAAUAUCAUAAGGACAAUAAAGAAAUAAAAAAUUUAAAAAAGAAUAUAAGGAAAUAAUUUACUAUACUGUACUUAUUGAAAAAAGUCCAUAUAUAAGUGGACCCGUACAGUUCAAACCCAUGUUGUUCAAGGGUCAACUGUAAUUCUUAAUUCAAGAAGAUGACUGAAUCUAUAACUGAGAGAAGGUAUUUCAACCUUGACAUAUCUUUUUUUUUUUUUUUAAAGAUUUUUUUUAUUUAUUUAUUUGAGAGAGAGAGAAUGAGAGACAGAGAGCAUGAGAGGCAGGAGGGUCAGAGGGAGAAGCAGACUCCCUGCUGAGCAGGGAGCCCGAUGCGGGACUCGAUCCGGGGACUCCAGGAUCAUGACCUGAGCUGAAGGCAGUCGCUUAACCAACUGAGCCACCCAGGCGCCCUCAACCUUGACAUAUCUAAUAUUGUGAUAUAUUGUCUUUUUUUUAAGAUUUUAUUUUUUUUAUUUUUUAUUUUUAUUUUUUUAAAGAUUUUAUUUAUUUAUUUAUUUGAGAGAGAGAAUGAGAUAGAGCAUGAGAGGGGGGAGGGCCAGAGGGAGAAGCAGACUCCCUGCUGAGCAGGGAGCCCGAUGUGGGACUCCAUCCCAGGACUCCAGGAUCAUGACCUGAGCCGAAGGCAGUCGCUUAACCAACUGAG